AAUAAUUAGAGGUAACCAAGGAAAACUUUCCAGGUUUCACCUUAGAUAGGAUUUAGAUCUAAGUAGCCUCUCAAAAGAUUUAGUUCAUGAUACUUUUAAUCCAUGUAGCUGAUAGCAUCAAGAUCAUUGUUUCAUUGAGAUCAUUUAAAUAAAUCAUUAUAUUUCCUAUCACCCAUGAAUAACACAUUAAGACCAACAAUCCCCAGUUAUCGUGAUCAUGAGUGGAGAAUACUAAUGGAUCAGUGUUGUGCACCUAAUCCUGCAACCAGAGCAAAGCCUAUAAUAGGAAGUUGAAGAAGAAAAAAUUGUUGAGGUGAUGAAUUUCUGCUUUUCUUCAAUUUUGUCCAUUAUCAUCUGAUUUUUUUUUUGGGAAAAAGGAACACUCUAAAAGGAAGCAUGAGAAAAGGGACAAUAUGAAAAUUGAAGAAAGUUAUAUUCUUAUCCAACAAAGUAUCAAUGUUACUGAAAUGUUACACAUUAGCAGAACAUAAUCUUACAUUGUGCUCAACAAGUACAAUCAUAAUAACUAGUUAACUCAACAUUUUUGGAAAAUUUUACAUCUUCAAUGAGGGAACAUAAGGAUGAAUAGGUACAAUAUGAUUUGUUUUAAUAAAUUAAAUGUUAAAGAAACAAAUCAUGGCAAUGAGACACUACUCUCUCUUUCUUCCUGAAUAUUAAAGAGGUGGCACAUCCGGAUCCUCUAUCCAAUAGUAUUCCACAAAAUAAUAUACAAUAUUGAUUUAUUUUUUUGUAACUUUUUUCCAAUUAAAUAAUGCAUUUUGAUUGGCUUGAGACACUGUUUGGGACACCAAUGGAAACAGGAGAUCUUCAUUCGGCAUAUCACACACGGAUAGAGAUUCCUUGUCCCUAAGGGGUGUCUCAUUACCCGUCCCGGACCAGUCAAAUAUUGUCACAUAAAUAAUAAAAAAACUUUAAAAAACAAAACGUAACAUUUUUAUAUUACUCUGCUUCAAAUUUGAUUACUUAGGGAUAAAGAACGGGAC
rnacentral:lncRNA from 1 species